GAGCCGAUGAAGGACGUGUGAGGCUGCGUUAUGCCUCGGGGAGUUGUCAACAAAGCGUUGAUCCGAGGGUGUCCGAAUGGGGAAACCUGGCCGUAGUUGUGUGCGGUUACCUUGCAGUGAAUGCAUAGCUGUUUAAGGGGGUUACGCCGGGAAGUGAAACAUCUCAGUACCGGUAGGAGAGGAAAAUAAGAAUGAUUCUGCUAGUAGCGGCGAGCG
rnacentral:rRNA from 1 species